AGAGUUUGAUCCUGGCUCAGGAUGAACGCUGGCGGCGUGGAUAAGGCAUGCAAGUCAAACGGCUCUUUUUAGCAAUAUUAAGAGUAGUGGCAAACGAGGUAGUAACACGUAGGUAUCUCCCCCGAAGUCUGGAAUAAUUCGCCGAAAGGCAAACUAAUACCGGAUAGUCUCCAAGGAGUAAAGAAGCAAUUCGCUUUGGGAAAAGCCUGCGGGAUAUCAGCUAGUUGGUAGGGUAGUGGCCUACCAAGGCAAUGACGUCUAGGGGAGGUGAGAGCCUGGCCCCCACCGAUGGAACUGAGACACGGUCCAUACACCUACGGGUGGCCGCAGUCGAGAAUCUUCCGCAAUGGGCGAAAGCCUGACGGAGCGACGCCGCGUGGUUGAUGAAGUCCUUCGGGACGUAAAAAUCUUUUUAUGUGAGAGAAAGUAUUUGAUAGUACCACAUGAAUAGGGGGGUUGCUAAACUCGUGCCAGCAGCAGCGGUAAUACGAGUGCCCCAAGCGUUAUCCGGAUUUAUUGGGCGUAGGGGUGUGUAGGUGGUUUUUGUUAGUCUUCUGUUAA
rnacentral:rRNA from 1 species